rnacentral:rRNA from 1 species
GUGGGGAAUAUUGGACAAUGGGGGCAACCCUGAUCCAGCAAUGCCGCGUGUGUGAUGAAGGCCCUAGGGUUGUAAAGCACUUUCGCCGAUGACGAUGAUGACGGUAGUCGGAUAAGAAGCCCCGGCUAACUCCGUGCCAGCAGCCGCGGUAAUACGGAGGGGGCGAGCGUUGUUCGGAAUUACUGGGCGUAAAGGGCGCGUAGGCGGUGACGCUAGUCAGACGUGAAAGCCCCGGGCUCAACCUGGGAGGUGCGUUUGAUACUGCGUUGCUUGAGAGCGGAAGAGGGUAGUGGAAUUCCCAGUGUAGAGGUGAAAUUCGUAGAUAUUGGGAAGAACACCAGUGGCGAAGGCGGCUACCUGGUCCGUUUCUGACGCUGAGGCGCGAAAGCGUGGGGAGCAAACAGGAUUAGAUACCCUAGUAGUCC